rnacentral:rRNA from 1 species
ACUCCUACGGGAGGCAGCAGUGGGGAAUCUUGCACAAUGGGCGAAAGCCUGAUGCAGCGACGCCGCGUGCGGGAUGACGGCCUUCGGGUUGUAAACCGCUUUCAGCAGGGACGAAGCGGAAGCGACGGUACCUGCAGAAGAAGCCCCGGCCAACUACGUGCCAGCAGCCGCGGUAAUACGUAGGGGGCGAGCGUUGUCCGGAUUUAUUGGGCGUAAAGAGCUCGCAGGUGGCUGUUCAAGUCGGGUGUGAAAUCCCAAGGCUCAACCUUGGGUCUGCAUUCGAUACUGGGUGGCUUGAGUCUGGUAGGGGGACCUGGAAUUCCUGGUGUAGCGGUGGAAUGCGCAGAUAUCAGGAGGAACACCGGUGGCGAAGGCGGGGUCCUGGGCCAGUACUGACGCUGAGGAGCGAAAGCGUGGGGAGCAAACAGGAUUAGAUACCCUGGUAGUCCACGCUGUAAACGAUGGGUG